CGCUCAUGAGGUAAGAAUGAGACCGGUGGAAUAUGGCGAGGAAGUGACUUUUGCCGGCCCUGUUAGCGCUGCGCUACCGUUAGCGCUGUGCUAGCGUGUUGCUGCUGUGUUAGCGGCGGUGUCUCAUUGAUCUUUACCGGCUCAGCUCCAGCACCCAAAUGGAGGGGACGACGGUGCACAGGUAGAGGAACACCAUCGGGGAGAACCUAAAAGAGAAGCUGUCAACGUUUGGAGUUGUACAGCUCCAGCAGUAUCGUAUUUAUGUACAGUCCCUCCCGGAUGGCAGCCAGGGGCAUCCAAGUUCCGGUUCUUCCCUCUCACAUGGUGUACGCCACCCAGUAGAUGACAUUGAC